ACGAACGCUGGCGGCGUGCUUAACACAUGCAAGUCGAACGCUGAACCCGCUUCGGUGGGGGAUGAGUGGCGAACGGGUGAGUAACACGUGGGCAACCUGCCCCCGGCUCUGGGAUAACUCCAAGAAAUUGGGGCUAAUACCGGAUGUGACCGCUGGCCGCAUGGUCUGGUGGUGGAAAGGGUUUCCGGCUGGGGAUGGGCCCGCGGCCUAUCAGCUUGUUGGUGGGGUAGUGGCCUACCAAGGCGACGACGGGUAGCCGGCCUGAGAGGGUGACCGGCCACACUGGGACUGAGACACGGCCCAGACUCCUACGGGAGGCAGCAGUGGGGAAUAUUGCGCAAUGGGCGGAAGCCUGACGCAGCGACGCCGCGUGGGGGAUGACGGCCUUCGGGUUGUAAACCUCUUUCAGCAGGGACGAAGCGCAAGUGACGGUACCUGCAGAAGAAGCACCGGCCAACUACGUG
rnacentral:rRNA from 1 species